rnacentral:lncRNA from 1 species
AAGCCCCUGCGGUCCCCUGAACUCCGAAAACGUCGGCGGACGGAGCCUCUCGUGCCAGCCGAAGCCCCAAAGUCGGCGCUGACUGACUGGGAUGCCCUGCUGCCAGGUGAGAGCGGCGCGCCGCCGAAGGGGGGCCACGUGAGCGGCGAGCGCCCAUUGGCCGCCGCCGAGCGUGACGUCGUGCGACGUCGCGGAACGGCGGCGGACUGUUCGCCGGCCGACUCGGCCGCGCGCCGUCAGUUUGACGCGAGAGCCCUAGGUGGAGGUGAUACAGGCACCAGCGUCGUCGGCUUUCGCGAACUUCCAAAACUGCCCGUCCGAUGUGAGUGUCAGUGGGCGCACAGCGGGCUCCUCGAUUCGGCGCUGGGGAGUAGCACGCACAGCAUGCGCGGCCAGCCGGAUUGUGACACCCUGUCCACUGAUCUGCUGCUGCCGACCACGCAUCUGCUGGGAUGUUUUGCCGCUAACGCCACAUGCUUAUACACAAGUUCGUGGUACCGAUCACUUUAACGCUGCUCGUCAGUCUUGUAAUGGAGCCGCGGUGAAGUUCAUUCCGCGUUCACUGUCAACAAACCUUUCGGAACGUGGUUCCGCUAAGUGGGUCAAAAGCAAAGUGCAGAAAGGAAAAAA